UGGUUCGAUCAGAAGCAGGGAAGGGCGACCCCCAUUUCUCCAAAACCCUAACAUUCACAAAAGCCACAAAUUGAAGGCUCAAAUCAUGACCAAAUCGAUUUUCAAGCAUAAAUUAAUGAUCACCUAGUUGAGGAGAUCAUAAGGCAAGGAAUCCGGAACGUCAAGUGGACACGCCAGAGGUGAUGCUCGUGGAAAAGGUGUGCUUUAAAGGUAUGGAUGAGGACCUCUCGGAUGAUGAUCAAGUACAUUGUAAAGAACCGAACACGUAUUUUGAAGCUUCCGCACUAAACUAAAUCUUGUCUAGACUUUAAUCAUGUUGUAAAUGUUUUGUUAAUCGUGUUUUGAAUCCUUCAAACUAGUUGUUAGUUGACUAGUAAGGAUUAACUUUAAACUUGUUAUGCAUUAACUUAUGUUUGUUUUGGGUACUACAACAAGUAGGUUUGGUCUUUAAACACGAAAGUUUUUGUAAACUCUGAUUAGUAUUUAUUUAAUAUAAAUACUUAGUUAAAUUCCGUCUAAAUAUUAAGGGUGUUACACUACGGGCCUGAAUUCGAGCUUUAGAAACAAAGCUUGAAGGGGGCUCGGCUCAUUUGUGUUACUACUGAAUACAAGCGCUAGGUUACUUCCCAAUUAUAUUAGAAUAAAACCUAAACUCUAAUUUUAACUGUAUGUUUAACUAACCUACUUGCAAAAUCUGAUGAUGGUUCUACAUAUGUGGUUUACAAUAGUUGGGGUAGGGUUGGCAUAAAGGGUCAAGAUAAGUUGUUUGGUCUCUAUACCUGUAAAAGAUCCUCUCCAACCCCUAUGCUAACCUAUAACUUUGGCCAUAAAACGAAUCCCUGUUGAAGGGGCUUAUCCAUUUCCUAUAUUACAGAUUUUUUUUUUUGGUAUAGAGCAUAAAAUACUAAUAUGUUGUUGAUCUACAGAUGAAGUUGAAAGCCUCACUACAACAUAAAAAGCUGCUAUAUCCGGUUCAGAACCUUUAGGAGAACUUUUAGGACCGGUGAAAGUAACCUCAUUAAUGUCAAUAUUAAGGUGGAGUCACAAGCCAAAUAUGUUGAAUACUAAAUGUUCAGCAGAGAAUGGGCAGAUUGCCAUGGCAUUAUUCUAGAAAUUUUAUAACCUUUGAAGUUUAUAUGUAUAUUUUUUUUUUCUAGAAAUUUUGUUUAAUGAGUUUUUCUUAUUGAUCAGUGUCUUUACUAUGUAGAUAAAUCGGUUUAAAGUGGCAUUGCUCUGUUUAUAGAAAAGCGAUGAUGAUCUC
rnacentral:lncRNA from 1 species